GACGUAGGGCGCGAGCGUUUGUCCGGAUUUAUUGGGCGUAAAGAGCUCGUAGGCGGCUUGUUGCGUCGACUGUGAAAACCCGCGGCUUAACUGCGGGCUUGCAGUUGAUACGGGCAGGCUAGAGUUCGGUAGGGGAGACUGGAAUUCCUGGUGUAGCGGUGAAAUGCGCAGAUAUCAGGAGGAACACCAGCGGCGAAGGCG
rnacentral:rRNA from 1 species